GACAGAGGUGCCAAGCGUUAGGCGGACUCACUGGGCUUAAAGCGUGUGUAGGCGGAUCGUUAAGUACCUUGUGAAAUCCCACGGCUCAACCGUGGAACUGCUGGGUAUACUGGCGGUCUUGAGCCACCUAGGGGCAACUGGAACAAGCGGUGGAGCGGUGAAAUGCGUAGAUAUCGUUUGGAACGCCAAUGGUGAAAACAGGUCGCUGGGGAUGAGCUGACGCUGAGACACGAAAGCCAGGGGAGCAAACGGG
rnacentral:rRNA from 1 species